rnacentral:misc_RNA from 1 species
CGUGUCCUGGUGUGGUUGAAUCAUAACUAAUCAAAUAUGCUGCAUCAGUAUAAGUGAUAAAGUCGCAUAAAAGGAAAUUCAUGUACUACUACUGUACUGUAUAUAAUGUACUAGUAAUCUCAUUUGAGUUAAGCCAGUUUUUGUUAAUGUUCUGGAAAAUGAUAAUUUGCCGAAACACAUAUGCUACAUUUGCUUGGGAAAGCUCACAUCGUUUUUCCAAUUUAAACAAAUGUCUGUUAACGCUCAAAGCCAAAUCCCUCAUCUCAUGUGCGAACUACCUGAAUCAGUCACUAUAACCCCAGUUAAGAAUGGUGAAGUUGGAUCGACAGCUAAUGCAACACGCAGUUCUUUACAAAAUGGUGUAUCUAACAAGGAUGAGUCAGACAGCAGUGGUUUAAACCUAAUGAUUCAAAAUGUUCAAUCCCUCGCGCAUACUCCAAGGACACCGGGUGAAAUCUCUACUACCCCAUCGGCACCUGAAAAACGAAAAAACCUCGAUCUCACACCCGAGGAAAAGGCUGCGAGAAAAAAGGAAAGAAAAACGGUAUGUAUGGAAUGUGGCCUGUGGAUGCCAAGGUACGAGAUAGCAGAGCAUGAAGAAAAGGUCCAUUUCAAAAGAGACUAUUUCUGCCUGAGAUGCGAGAAAGACUUUGUGGCACAGCCACAAUGGGCAAAACACGUAGAAGAGGUUCAUUCAGAGGCAACUUAAAAAAGAUAUUUCUACUUUGCCAUCAUUUGGGUCAUUGAAGAAUUCUGAAUGCUUGAAGAAUGAAGAAUCGGUCCAUCUAGACUGUGUUUAUUUCACAUUCUUCUUAAAUGAAUUCCUGUACAUAAAUAUAUUAUAUCUAUUAUGUAGUUCCUGUCGUUAAAAAAUUGUCAAAUUUUUUAUAUAUUGUGUAUAAGAGUUGUGAAAAUAUUUUUCUUUUUUACAAUUGGGAUUCUAUUUCAGGAAGAAAAACGCGUUUAUAAGUAUUCUUUUUUGGCCAAUCUGUGAUAUCGCAAACUCUAUUCCCAUGCUGAAAAAAUAAUUUUAAUUCCGUGAAAAAUUUUAAUUUGAUCUCGUUUUUUAUUGUACAAAAUUAUUAGCACUGAGCGAAGUUAAUUGUGCCUACCUUGAGCAUUCACGCAAAGUAUUUACUUGGAAUAGAAAUGCUAAUGACUAUAAGACAUUUCAAUAAAAUACAACCAUGCACUUAACUUCUUGUAAUUGUAAUUUAUUUUUUUUUCAUGUCUUUUAGUUUAAAUUUAAUCCUAUUGUUAAGAAUUACGUCGUUGAUGCCUUUGUUCUAUCCCCCUGUACAUUUUAUUAAAAGUGCAUUAUGAUAAAAUGUUACUAUUGGCAGAGAUGCUAUAGGUGUAACUGAAUCCCAUGUUAUUUUAAUAAAUUAUUUUUUAUUGUCACUUGUAUUUACAGCUUGAAGUUGUUGCAAAUUUAAUUUUUGCAAUAUUCGCAAAGAGCCAUUAUUUACAGUAUCAUUUACAAAAAUAGCCAUAAUACUGUUCAAAAGUUAAAUUUAUUGUUUUAAUAAACAAAUUGUAUUUACACUUGAAUAUACAAAUUGUACAUAAUUUUUCUACAAUAAUAUACAAAUACAAAAAAAA